rnacentral:rRNA from 1 species
GAUGAACGCUGGCGGCGUGCCUAAUACAUGCCAGUCGAGCGAACAGACGAGGAGCUUGCUCCUCUGACGUUAGCGGCGGACGGGUGAGUAACACGUGGAUAACCUACCUAUAAGACUGGGAUAACUUCGGGAAACCGGAGCUAAUACCGGAUAAUAUAUUGAACCGCAUGGUUCAAUAGUGAAAGACGGUUUUGCUGUUACUUAUAGAUGGAUCCGCGCCGCAUUAGCUAGUUGGUAAGGUAACGGCUUACCAAGGCAACGAUGCGUAGCCGACCUGAGAGGGUGAUCGGACACACUGGAACUGAGACACGGUCCAGACUCCUACGGGAGGCAGCAGUAGGGAAUCUUCCGCAAUGGGCGAAAGCCUGACGGAGCAACGCCGCGUGAGUGAUGAAGGUCUUCGGAUCGUAAAACUCUGUUAUUAGGGAAGAACAAAUGUGUAAGUAACUAUGCACGUCUUGACGGUACCUAAUCAGAAAGCCGCGGCUAGCUACGUG